CAGGAUGAAGGUAAGGUAACACUUACUGGAGGUCCGAACCCGUGAAUGUUGAAAAAUUCUGGGAUGACUUGUGGAUAGGGGUGAAAGGCCAAUCAAACCUGGACAUAGCUGGUUCUCCGCGAAAUCUAUUUAGGUAGAGCGUCCGACGAACUCCUUGGGGGGUAGAGCACUGGAUGGAUGCGGGCUGCGCGAGCGGUACCAAUUCUAACCAAACUCCGAAUACCCAAGAGAGCUAUCGGGCAGACACACGGCGGGUGCUAACGUCCGUCGUGAAAAGGGAAACAACCCUAACCAUCAUCUAAGGCCCCCAAGUAACGGCUAAGUGGGAAACGAUGUGGGAUUGCUUUGACAAUCAGGAGGUUGGCUUAGAAGCAGCCAUCCUUUAAAGAAAGCGUAACAGCUCACUGAUCAAGCGAUCCUGCGCGGAAAAUGUAACGGGGCUAAAGCCGUUCGCCGAAGGUAUGGGUUUGCAGUUUACUGCAAGCGGUAGCGGAGCGUUCCGUAAGCCGGUGAAGGUCAACCGUGAGGUUGGCUGGAGGUAUCGGAAGUGAGAAUGCUGACAUGAGUAACGAUAAACAGUGUGAGAAACACUGUCGCCGAAAGACCAAGGGUUCCUGCGUAAAGCUAAUCUGCGCAGGGUUAGUCGGCCCCUAAGGCGAGGCUGAAAAGCGUAGUCGAUGG
rnacentral:rRNA from 1 species